ensembl:misc_RNA 7SK 7SK RNA
GGAUGUGAGGGCGAUCUGGCUGCGACAUCUGUCACCCCAUUGAUCGCCAGGGUUGAUUCGGCUGAUCUGGCUGGCUAGGCGGGUGUCCCCCUCCUCCCUCACCGAUCCAUGUGCGUCCCUCCCGAAGCUGCGCGCUCGGUCGAAGAGGACGACCUUCCCCCCCGAGGAGAGGACCGGUCUUCGGUCAAGGGUAUACGAGUAGCUGCGCUCCCCUGCUAGAACCUCCAAACAAGCUCUCAAGAUACUUACUAUGUAUCCAGGCUGUGAUUGGUGUAUGGGGUAAAAAGAAGGGUCAGACUUUACUCCUUCUCCUCAAAGAGUUUGCAUUCUAGUUA